GACAUAAGCCUUCCCCAUAAGCAGAGUUUUGCCAAUCGUUGCCACGCUUGGCAAGCGAGUUGGCAAUCGCAGUUCGGCUUUUAGAUAUAUUUUAAGAGGGACGCUGGUGCCCAUUCCCCGCCACCCCUAAUCGCCUUUUACAACAUCCACAGGAAGGGAAGGGGUGGCCCAUUUUAUACCGUGUGUAUUCCUAUGCCAAUAUAACAUUACUAUUGUUUAUUAUUCUAACUGUAUUAUUUAUUUAUUCUUUAUUGCACAAUAAAACUUUGUACAAGUGGCGAGCUUAAUGCCAUAUGACAUUCUCUACCAGCUAACCAUUAGGUAAAAACAGAAAGCGUAUAAAAGACUAUUAUUGUUUUAUGUAGUUUAGGAUAGCGGACAAGCUGAGAAUGGUAACCGUCGCCAAUGAAAAUGAACAUUAUAUUGUCUGUGAUGUGCAUAGUAUCUUUUACAUAUUAUCAUUCCUAAGUAUUACCACAGAUAAUAUAAUAAUAUGUACUACUAUUGAUAUUAUGUCUCCGUACCUUGUGUUAGUUACCUAGUUAUGAAGAAAAUUUGAUAUAAAUGUACGCUUUCGCAACUUGAUACGUGCUCAAACGUCAGUUUUAAAAUUUAUAAAAAAAAAAAUAAUUAACGUAAUGAGCAAUACUAUAUUGCUAAUAACCAGUGUGGUAAUUUAUUACAGGUAGGUAUAUAAAUACUUUAUGAAAAUCUAAAUUCAUAAGUGUUUGUUUAAAGUGUAAAGUAGAAGCAUGACUACAAAACUUGUCAUUUGUCUCUCCAUUUUAUUUGCCGUCAGUUUUUGCACUGUAUCUUGCCAGUACGGUUAUGGGAACCCGGCAAUGCAUGGAGGCUAUGGACCACCUCCUCCUAUCAUCAUAACAAAAGGAGGUGGUGGAAGUCGUGAUAUGAUGUACCCGCUUUUGUUAUUGCUAUUAUUAGAUGGUGAUUUCUAAUGAAUGUCUUUUAUUGUAAUAAAUACACCUGAUUACAUAA